rnacentral:rRNA from 1 species
AUUGGUCAAUGGGCGGGAGCCUGAACCAGCCAAGUCGCGUGAGGGAAGACGGUCCUAUGGAUUGUAAACCUCUUUUGUCGGGGAGCAAAGAGGCCACGUGUGGUCAAAAGCGAGAGUACCCGAAGAAAAAGCAUCGGCUAACUCCGUGCC